rnacentral:misc_RNA from 1 species
GGAAAAGGUAGUUCUUGGAGCUUUAACCCAUGCCAUUUGACUCCAAAUGAGAAUUAAUGUAGUUUUGAUUUUCCCACUUGGGAGAUGCUUCUUUUGCUAAGAGAAAAUCUGAAGAACUACUUCAACUUGAUUAACUUGGGAAAUUUUUUUAAAUUGGUUUGCACCUGUCCAUUCAGAAAAGAAGUUACAGUUGAAUGCGGAACUCCAUUUUAGAAGAGUCCAAAUUCUUUACAGUUGAAUAGUGCCAUACCUCACCCUUGCUAAAAACAUUAUAGUUCAUUGGUAUAACAUUAAUUGCUUUGAUAUGCAGGGAUGCACUUAUGUCGUGUCAU